ACCUUGCAAUAUCGGGUUUACAAUGAUUCGUUCUGAUUAUUUACAUAUAGAUUAUCACAGUGCAAAAACGUUUUGGAAUCUCAAACAAUUAAGAAGAUGCGGGGUAAAUUUCAAUUAUGCAGUUUGGUUGCGAGUUUGGUCUUGUACAUCGUUGACCUGGGAACCGAUGUUUACGUCGCGAUUCAACACAAAAAAAAUGGUGACAUAUGGUAUUUUAGGCUCACAGCCUGUUUUGUUGGUACAUCUAUCAUCGUUGUGAAUAUUUUUGCAACGAUUGCUUUGAAAGCACCUUGGUACAUACGAACAUUGGCGUGUCUCACUCAUUCCUCCAUGAUCCUUCUGUUUAUUAGCGAAAUCCGGCGUUGGAAGAAAGAAGGUUGUGUAAGUAAUACUCAUCGUUGCAAAAGUGGAAAACAUUUUUCUGAAUGUGACUGCACUGGCUGCGAUUUACAACUCAAGAAGAGUGUUAAGGCUUCUCUGAAUAUGUCACACGUUCGUUCUCUGGAAACAUUUAUAGAAGCGGUGCCACAAUGGCUUCUUCAGGUAUACAUAAUGGUUUAUGAACAGUCCUUUCCUUGGUACACGAUCGUUUCAGUUGCAGUUUCAUUUAUAUCUUUGGUUUUCAGCAUUUUUGCGCUGGAGAAAAAUUAUUGGAUCCUGAAAAUUGUUCAAGGUGGCCAACACUACAUUCGGCCAGUAAGCUUUCCAAAAAGUUCAGCAGUUAUUUUUUUCUUUUGGCAAACGUUUCUUCUAUUUGGCAGACUCUCGGCAAUGAUCUUAAACACAAUUGUAGUUGAAUACUUGAUUUUUUCCAUUAUCGGUGCUCACUGGAUGGUUGUAGUUUUUGCUUUAAUAGGCUCUGUAAAAACUGCUUGUGUUGAGGGUGGACAUGAUGGUUUUACCUGUCGCAGAUACCUAAUCAUAUCUUUUUUGUCUCUUUUUAUAAUUUAUCCGUUGCUCUUUCAUGUUUCCCACUCGUCUGUCGCUUGUAUGAAAAAAGUUUUACCGGAUAAAAAUCUCGUAGCGACAAAAUUCGAAGGUAUUAUGGCAGUAAUAAUACCGAUUCUUUUCUUGGGAUCUUUUUGCUUCGGUUGUGUUAAUGCGAUCAAGUAUAACUGGAAAGAUGAAUUACUUGUAUGGUAUGUAGCAGUUGGAUCUUUGUAUGUUCUUGCAUUCGUCUUUGAGGUCAUGUUUUACUCGUGUUAUCAUCCACUUAAGGUAACGUACAGAAAUUGGCAGAAAUUAAAAGAUCAAGCAGACGUUAUAAACGUGGAACAAUGGACAUUUAAUGAAACAAAUGCUAAUACAAAAGUAAAUUGAAGCAACAGGAAAAUGAUAUCUACAACUUGGCAAACCAUGAUCAGAUUAACUUUUCAUCAAUGGGGACUCCAUUUUGAAUCUUGAUGCAUUCAUGGACAUUCCGUACAGUAAAAACCCGCAUAUAAGAACCUAGAAUUUAAAUACCUGUUUAUUUAGACCCCCGUCAAAAUUAAAUCAUAAGUUACAAUCAGUGUAGCUUUAAUGGAUCUAUUCCCUAAUAAACAAAAUUUUGAUCUAGAGAAGUCUAGACAAAUAUUUCACCACAGCUUGAAAGAGCACCACAAAAUUAAUAAUAUUCCGAAUUACAUAAGAACCUGUUUAGGCUAACUUAGAAAAUCUAGGUUCUUAUAUGCGGAGUUUUACUGUAUCAAGUGUAUGCUAUUGUCGUAGAUAUAUUCUUGAUAAAAAGAUGAAGUAUAGCUCAAAAUUUUGGGGAACUCUGCAUGUAUUAUUUUCCACGUAUAGCUCUGAGGAAGUUGAAAAUUAUACUGUUUGUUCCCUUCAAUUUAUUAUGUCCAAAGACUUAUCUGUUAUUUGCAACCAGAAACAAUUCAUCUAGGCCUAUGUAUUUGAACUUACAAAAACGUCGUGAAAGAGGUAACAUGGAAUCUGAAAUUUUCUAAAUUUUUUAAUGGGAUAUAUGGAUACAAGUAGUAGGAUUUUGUAAAUCAGUGGGUACGAAUGGCCAGGAGUCAGAAAAAACGUGGCUGGGAAAAUUUAAUCGAAACAACGCCCUGCUCCGUUUUGGACUUUGUGAACGCUAAAGACCACAAUGUCUUGCAAUUUCAACACGAGGACGCUAUCGAAGAAGAGUCAAUUGCAUAAUGACGUAAAUGUACAUAGUUAAGUUUAUCUAGUGAGAAAAAUUAACUCUGAAACUGUGAAGCAAGUUAUUUUGUAUUUUUCGAUGUUUGUCUAGUGACUAAUUCAAUUUUAAAAUGGAAAAUGUUUGUUUGAUGUGUAAAUGACUG
rnacentral:lncRNA from 1 species